GACAAACGCUGGCGACGUGCUUAAUACAUGCAAGUCGAACGGACACACUUCGGUGUGUUAGUGGCGGACGGGUGAGUAACACGUAGAUGACCUGCCCUAUAGUGGGAUAACAGCCUGAAGGGUUGCUAAUACCGCAUAAGCUCUUACAUGAGGGUGUAAGAGGAAACCUUCGCAAGAGGGGCUAAAGGAGGGUCUGGCG
rnacentral:rRNA from 1 species